rnacentral:rRNA from 1 species
GACGAACCGUCCAAACGUUAUUCGGAAUUACUGGGCUUAAAGGGUGCGUAGGCGGUGCGGUAAGUUGGAUGUGAAAUCCCUCGGCUCAACCGAGGAACUGCGUUCAAUACUGCCGUGCUUGAGGGAGACAGAGGCGAGCGGAACUGAUGGUGGAGCGGUGAAAUGCGUUGAUAUCAUCAGGAACACCUGUGGCGAAAGCGGCUCGCUGGGUCUCUUCUGACGCUGAGGCACGAAAGCUAGGGUAGCGAACGGG